rnacentral:rRNA from 1 species
CUACGGGUCGCAGCAGUGGGGAAUAUUGCACAAUGGGCGCAAGCCUGAUGCAGCCAUGCCGCGUGUAUGAAGAAGGCCUUCGGGUUGUAAAGUACUUUCAGCGGGGAGGAAAGGAGUAAAGUUAAUACCUUUGCUCAUUGACGUUACCCGCAGAAGAAGCACCGGCUAACUCCGUGCCAGCAGCCGCGGUAAUGCGGAGGGUGCAAGCGUUAAUCGGAAUUACUGGGCGUAAAGCGCACGCAGGCGGUUUGUUAAGUCAGAUGUGAAAUCCCCGGGCUCAACCUGGGAACUGCAUCUGAUACUGGCAAGCUUGAGUCUCGUAGAGGGGGGUAGAAUUCCAGGUGUAGCGGUGAAAUGCGUAGAGAUCUGGAGGAAUACCGGUGGCGAAGGCGGCCCCCUGGACGAAGACUGACGCUCAGGUGCGAAAGCGUGGGGAGCAAACAGGAUUAGAUACCCUAGUAGUC